CUGUCAUGCUCUCUUGAACUGCGGGGUGUCUGUUCUCAUGUCAGCCGGGAAGAAAGAAAGAAAAAAAAGCCGUGCUGCUGUUCGGGUAUUCCCAGCAGCGCUUGUUUACCGACGUCGAACAAAACAGCCGAAGAGUUUCUCCGAUUUACACAUCCACCGUGACCAAGGAAGGACUGCCCCUCAGCACUGGUAUCGGAUCUCGUUUCUCUGCGGUGCGUCUGGCGUUGUGUGACGGGCGGUACAUUCUGUACGCUUUUCCUCCGGAGCCGGUGGAGUCUACGCACCAGCAGAAAGACGCAAUUAAAAGGGUCCUGCUGACGCUGAAUGAGACUCAACGGGAGAUGACCUUCUUCUGGCAGCUCUUACGGUGGAUUAUUGUCUGGAAGUCACCUGAGAAAAACAGAGAUAAUCCUUUGCUCUUGAUCACAGGCUCCUGUCAUACCUGACUCUCUCUAAACCCUGCACUGCAUCAUCCAACCCUCUCUGUGCUACAGGGGGAAGUGGAGAGGUGGGGAUCUUCCCACUGAACAUUUUUGUGGUGAAAAGUUGAUGAAACAAUGUGUUCUGGCUACAUUAGGUUGAAAAGUGACAUUUUUCUAGCCAACAAGGACAGUCAGGCUAUAUCCAGGAAAAACCUGAGCUUCGGUAUAAGGGUUAACCUAGUCCUUUUUAUAUGAAAACAUCUCUCCGCCUUGAUUUACAUCCCUCUAGAUGUCAAAAAUUCUGGCUUUUACCCACAGGGUUAAAGUUUUUUUUUUUUUUUCCUGUUCGAUGUACAUUCUUUGAACCCUACAGAAAGAAUCAUUAGGAGGCAAAAACAAACCUGGCUUUAGGGUUUAUCAACCUAAACCUUUUGCUCUCCUUACGCCACUAUCAUCUUGAAGAUACUGCUUUUGCAAAAGAAAUAGAUUUGCACUAAACCGGUGUCUUUUCUAAGGGUCUCAAAAAAUACAGAAAAAAGCUUUUCACACAACUGCAGAAAACGUAAUGGCUUUUUCUCUUGGUGAAAUGGCUGUGCAAACAUUAGGUAUUCAUAAGCAAUGUUUUCUAUCACACUCAGAAACAGAAAUUGGAAGCACAUUGAAAGAAAAAGGGAAGAAAUAACCCUGAAGUAUGCACAUGUGCAUCAGCUUUCCCAGCGAGAUCACAUUUUCCUCACUCUCUCACACUCUCCCUUUUAACAGUAGUGGGGUUUAUUCAUGUUGCUGAGCCACACACAUCCACAUAAUCCAAGCCUGAAGGCUCUUUUGCUUUUGUUAUCGUUGUUGUCAUUCCCCUGCAACUGAAUUCAAGGGUCGGGGCAAGGGGGUAAAUACUGUUGCAGAGGUUCAAAUGUAAUUGCAGCCAAGUGGCUAAUACAUGCAUUAGCAGUCGCUGAGGUGCCAAGUUUUGCACAUUGUUUUACAACAAAAGUGGAUUAGUGCAAUGACUCAGAGUGUGUGGGUGCGUGUGUGUGUGUGUGUGAGUGUGUGUGUGCGUGCAUGGGCACAUGUUUGUGUCUGUCUGAGUAUACAUGCCAAUCUAUGUUUGUCUGGUGAAAUCUUUAGCUCAGGGCAAGUAUCCAGUUUGCACCAAGCCAAAAACUAUUGUUUUAAAACACUAACUGUAAUACAGAUGGUAAAAUCACUUCCAGAUUGUUCAGGCUGGCCUUUAAUCUCACUCUGUCUUUAACAGGACCAGUAUCAGUCUGGGAAAACACGUUGUGGGUGUCCAUUUUGGAUAAGCUUUCGGAUGUAAAAGGGGGGGGUGGUGGGGGGUGGCGGUUUCUCGUUACAGAACCCUGAAGUAGCAACACUGAGCACAAAUAUUAACAAAAUCUGUUAAAUCCCCGAAGAAUAACCCCGGCUUACUCUAACCACUUCAGACUGGCUGUGCACGGGGUUCCUUUUUUGCUGGCAAAGGAGCCGUAUUAUUUGCAUUUAUGCAACGCAGCUGGGAUCCUCUUGCUAAUGAGAACCAACCUUCUCCAAACAAAAGAGGAACCGGAGCCCCCGAUUGGCGCGAGCGACCGCUGCCCUUGUGAAUGGCGCUGCCUGAAGGUAUGGGGCUUCAUUCAAAAAGGCCUUAAUGCCAGCUUUCUUUCGCCGGACGCUGUGCCAGGGGCGAAACAACUCCGCACUCUACAACAUACCUGUUGGGCGACCAUUGUAAAAGGUCGAGGUUCUUCUGGCAACUGCAGGAUUGUAUUUUUGAAGAAGAAAAAAAACCCCCGCUGUUCUGUGGUCCGGCUAUCCUCAGGGGUGGAGACCGUGCGCCUGUCUGCUUGUGUAGGGUGUACCAACGGGGGAUUGAUAAAGAUCCUCAGAAUAGCAAUGAAAAUGUGCAAUUUAAAAAAAAAAUACAGUUAUGUUAAAAUUAAGCUUUUGUUUUCAACGACUCAUCUCCCUCUUUCUAACCCAUUAAGCGAGCAGUGUGGCCAGAUGCACGCACACCGUCGUGUUUCUGUGAAUGUUGCACUGCGCAAAGAAAAUGAUUACCGAAAAAAAGCUGGUGCCCUUAUGCGCCUCUGUUUCAGUGAGCUGGCCUGCCCUCGGGGCAAGCCUGACCCCAGAACGAGUGCAAUUUCCAAAACACGGGCCUAUUCCUGACCCGGCCUCUCUGUCCCACAUAGCAGAAGAACAAACCGGCAUUACAGUGUAAUUAAAUGCUGGGCCAAAACACAAACCCUUACCAGAAUCGAAUUGGGCAAAAAUUCAUACACUGCUGGUGCUGGCCAGCCCUUCCCAUGCAAACUUUGCUCUGAGGAUAAAUAUUAAUAAUGGGAAAAUACAAAGUUUUUAAAUGUGCAUUAAUGUUUUGAGAGAUGUACUGGUUGCAUAUACCAAAUAUUGUUUCAGUAGCACAGUGUUAUUUUUCUGAACAACGCAGCAUUCACCACUAUAGCAAAAUAAA